CUUGCAAAAUGAACUGGCCCAUUGAGUGUUGUCGCCAGCAAUGCAAUACCCAAUUUGUCUCGAGCAGAUGCAAGCAAGCAUACAAUACAGCCAAUUGAUAAUAGAAUAGUUGAAAUAAGUUAUCCAUGUUUAAGUUUUCAGAAGGAACUGAAGAGUUUAGAAAAUGUCAAGUCAUGUCUUAAAGUAAUUUACUUGUUUGUUAGAGAAACAGGCAUCGCGAGGGAGCAACGCGGUGAGAGAAAGGAGCAGAGAUCGGCAGGCAGUUUCCUGAAAUAGACUCCUUGGGUGUGUGUGGUUUCCCAUGGACGGGGACGUGCGAGACCAUGUAACCCGCUGACCUUUCCGCACCAUCCCACAGCAACAUAAUGGACUCUUAGCCGGGGCUGUGCCUCGCCACGGACCGGGGCCUGCCGCCAUCAGUCCGUGAGUGACCUCUGACCUUCCUACCCAUCCGUACACCCUACUGUCCCUGAGGGUAGGCUCGUCCCCAGAGAGAGUGGGGGGGUCUACGGAUUGACGGGACAACUUCUACUUUCGGCCUUCAGCCUACCAUCACCUAGGAGAAAUGUGUGCAUGACAGUGGCGUUUCCAGAGCCAGCUCAGCUGAUGAGGUGCCUUUUCAUUAUAUGGAAAGAAACUCAUGGUUUCGAGCUAACGUUGUUACACAUAUCAAAGCAGUGGAGCCUGUAGUGAAGCAAAACUUUAGUGGUCAAAACCAUUCAUCUUGGGGUGACGAUGGAGCAGCAUUGCUUCGUCAGGGCAUGGACUCUACAAGGUAUCAAGCAUUCCACGGGGAUGUUGCCCCAUGUAGACUCCAAUGCUUCCCACAGUUGUGUCAAAUUGCCUGGAUGUCCUUUGGGUGGUGGACAUUUCUUUAAUACACACGUGAAACUGUUGUGUGAAAAACCCAAGAGUGUUGCAGUUCUUGACAGAAACUGACCUAUCGGCUGCCUUCGAUACUGUGAACCAUCAGAUCCUCCUCUCCACCCUCUCC